rnacentral:tRNA from 1 species
GCAUUGGUUUUUCAGUGGUAGAAUUCUCCUUUUUCAUGCAGGAGACCCAGGUUCAAUUCCCAGCCAAUGCA